rnacentral:rRNA from 1 species
GAUGAACGCUAGCUACAGGCUUAACACAUGCAAGUCGAGGGACCGGCGCACGGGUGAGUAACACGUAUCCCACCUGCCCUUUAAUCGGGGCUAGACUUUCGCAAGAAAGAUUAAUAACCGAAAUACAGGAGGGGGAUGCGUUCCAUUAGGUUGUUGGUGAGGUAACGGCUAACCAAACCUUCGAUGGCUAGGGGUUCUGAGAGUAAGGGCCCCUAGAUUGGAACUGAGACACAGUCCAAUAUCCUACGGGACGCAGGAGUGAGGAAGAUUGGGCAAGGGGUGCUAGCCUGAACCUGCCAAGUAGGGUGAAGAAUGAAGGGGUAUGGGUCGUAUACUUCUUUUAUAUAAGAAUAGGUAUUAUAUGAAUAAGGAUCGGCUAAGACCGUGCCAGCAGCCGCGGUAAUUC